rnacentral:lncRNA from 1 species
GUUCACAUUUAAAAAGAAGAAGAGACAUACAGCAUCCAUGAUAAACGGCUCGUGCAGCAUCCUGACCUGGCUAUCCAUUGUACUUGGUUGAUGGCUGCAGCCUAUGGAAAGAUCAGCAGAUAUACACACACGGUCCAGAUCUUACCUACAUACUGAGCGGAGCUCCAAUCUUUGGGAAAUCCAUCUACCUUGGCGAAGUCAUUUUCCUCAAUGUUGAUGAUGGCACCAAACAUAAAAACCUUUCCAAGUUACGGAAGCUAGUGAGAAGCCUUUUAUGGAGAAUGAACCCCAUAGGUUUAAUUUUCUCUACAUUCUGCCACCAGUCAUCAGAGAACUGACCAAUGCAGUAGAGUAAGAUACUGUUUCCCUUGACGUCCAAAGACAGCUUGGAAAUGCCGACAGAAGUUUAGGUGACAUGGAAGGGAAAGCCAGCUCUAUAUUUAAUGGCUGGCAUUUUGACUCACGAUUGACUCAUCACCUCUCUCACUGCAGCUCCUACUCCCUGCCUGCCUCACUCUACCCCUGUUUCUGCAGCCAGGAUCUGAUCCAGGGUCACCUUCCGAUUAGAUCCCAGAAUCUUCCCCAGCCAAAGCAUCCCCGCAUCAUACGAUGAACAUACGGUUUGAGACUGUGCGCUCUUGACUGCGCUGUCACCCGGUACUGGCUCUGGCCUUCAGUUGCCCUAUCUGUAAGAUGACAGGGAUGGAGAAAUAUCUACUGGGCCCCUUCCAGUUUUAAAGCUCAUCCCCCAGAGUGAGAAAAGACAACACUUCUCAAGGUUUACCCAGUCUCCUCAUCCAAGCCUUUCCAUGGCAUUUUUUGGCAGAGAGAACACUAAAAAAGGGUUGUCUGCGCAACCCAGUCUUUCCCGCUUUCUAGGGCUGGCAGAUGCGAGGUUAAUACUCAGUGAGAGCUGCAAAGUCAGGAAGAACACAGCCACUGAGACCCACUUCCCACAUGCUUUGCACAUUUCAAUGUGACAUUUGGUGGCUUAUUCUGAAUGCUUUACUCACGUCUACUCUAAAAAGACAUGUACUUUAAGGGGCUCCUUCUCAUAGCAAAUACUUGAGCGAGCAAGGCCCACGUGCUCUGCGGCUCCAGGUAUGAAAGGCUUUUAGCUCCCGCAAGCUGGUGCACCAGUGGGUGGGUACCCUGCAGCUGAUUUUGAUAUAGCCUCUGUCCUCAUUGUGCACCAGGAAUCAGAGGACACAACCUGGCUAGCACUUGGAAUUUUCAGUUCAGGUAUUUGAGAUUUCAGCUUCACUACUUACUUGUCAUUUGACCCUGGGCAAUGGUUUGAACACCAGUGUGCCUCGCUCCCCCAUCUGCAACAAGAGGAUAACAUGCAUGUCUGCUUCCUAGGGUGAUGGUUCGAGUUAAAUGGCAUUGUCCAUAAAAUACUUAACAGGGUGCCUUACUCAUAGCAAGCAUUC